AUGGCCUUCCUCUUCACGCUCGUCUCUUAGCAAAUUUGGAAUGAGAUAAAUGCAUGGAUUUUUUGGAACAUCUCCACCCUACCUUCGAUCAUCAUUGUGAGAAGCAAGGAUGAGGCUAAAAUGUGGUGCCUUACGUUUGCUAAGCACUUGAGUAAUCUCAUAUCAUGGAGAGUAGGCUCAUGUAAUUGA
rnacentral:rRNA from 1 species